ACCACUAUAGUUCAGCGGUAGAAUCGCCCACAAACAGUCGAAACCCGACUUAGGGUGGACGAGGGUUCAACUCCCUCUAGUGGCA